GGGUUGUGAGGUUAAGCGACUAAGCGUACACGGUGGAUGCCCUGGCAGUCAGAGGCGAUGAAGGACGUGCUAAUCUGCGAUAAGCGUCGGUAAGGUGAUAUGAACCGUUAUAACCGGCGAUUUCCGAAUGGGGAAACCCAGUGUGUUUCGACACACUAUCAUUAACUGAAUCCAUAGGUUAAUGAGGCGAACCGGGGGAACUGAAACAUCUAAGUACCCCGAGGAAAAGAAAUCAACCGAGAUUCCCCCAGUAGCGGCGAGCGAACGGGGAGGAGCCCAGAGCCUGAAUCAGUGUGUGUGUUAGUGGAAGCGUCUGGAAAGGCGCGCGAUACAGGGUGACAGCCCCGUACACAAAAAUGCACAUGCUGUGAGCUCGAUGAGUAGGGCGGGACACGUGGUAUCCUGUCUGAAUAUGGGGGGACCAUCCUCCAAGGCUAAAUACUCCUGACUGACCGAUAGUGAACCAGUACCGUGAGGGAAAGGCGAAAAGAACCCCGGCGAGGGGAGUGAAAAAGAACCUGAAACCGUGUACGUACAAGCAGUGGGAGCACGCUUAGGCGUGUGACUGCGUACCUUUUGUAUAAUGGGUCAGCGACUUAUAUUCUGUAGCAAGGUUAACCGAAUAGGGGAGCCGAAGGGAAACCGAGUCUUAACUGGGCGUUAAGUUGCAGGGUAUAGACCCGAAACCCGGUGAUCUAGCCAUGGGCAGGUUGAAGGUUGGGUAACACUAACUGGAGGACCGAACCGACUAAUGUUGAAAAAUUAGCGGAUGACUUGUGGCUGGGGGUGAAAGGCCAAUCAAACCGGGAGAUAGCUGGUUCUCCCCGAAAGCUAUUUAGGUAGCGCCUCGUGAAUUCAUCUCCGGGGGUAGAGCACUGUUUCGGCAAGGGGGUCAUCCCGACUUACCAACCCGAUGCAAACUGCGAAUACCGGAGAAUGUUAUCACGGGAGACACACGGCGGGUGCUAACGUCCGUCGUGAAGAGGGAAACAACCCAGACCGCCAGCUAAGGUCCCAAAGUCAUGGUUAAGUGGGAAACGAUGUGGGAAGGCCCAGACAGCCAGGAUGUUGGCUUAGAAGCAGCCAUCAUUUAAAGAAAGCGUAAUAGCUCACUGGUCGAGUCGGCCUGCGCGGAAGAUGUAACGGGGCUAAACCAUGCACCGAAGCUGCGGCAGCGACACUGUGUGUUGUUGGGUAGGGGAGCGUUCUGUAAGCCUGUGAAGGUGUGCUGUGAGGCAUGCUGGAGGUAUCAGAAGUGCGAAUGCUGACAUAAGUAACGAUAAAGCGGGUGAAAAGCCCGCUCGCCGGAAGACCAAGGGUUCCUGUCCAACGUUAAUCGGGGCAGGGUGAGUCGACCCCUAAGGCGAGGCCGAAAGGCGUAGUCGAUGGGAAACAGGUUAAUAUUCCUGUACUUGGUGUUACUGCGAAGGGGGGACGGAGAAGGCUAUGUUGGCCGGGCGACGGUUGUCCCGGUUUAAGCGUGUAGGCUGGUUUUCCAGGCAAAUCCGGAAAAUCAAGGCUGAGGCGUGAUGACGAGGCACUACGGUGCUGAAGCAACAAAUGCCCUGCUUCCAGGAAAAGCCUCUAAGCAUCAGGUAACAUCAAAUCGUACCCCAAACCGACACAGGUGGUCAGGUAGAGAAUACCAAGGCGCUUGAGAGAACUCGGGUGAAGGAACUAGGCAAAAUGGUGCCGUAACUUCGGGAGAAGGCACGCUGAUAUGUAGGUGAAGUCCCUCGCGGAUGGAGCUGAAAUCAGUCGAAGAUACCAGCUGGCUGCAACUGUUUAUUAAAAACACAGCACUGUGCAAACACGAAAGUGGACGUAUACGGUGUGACGCCUGCCCGGUGCCGGAAGGUUAAUUGAUGGGGUUAGCGCAAGCGAAGCUCUUGAUCGAAGCCCCGGUAAACGGCGGCCGUAACUAUAACGGUCCUAAGGUAGCGAAAUUCCUUGUCGGGUAAGUUCCGACCUGCACGAAUGGCGUAAUGAUGGCCAGGCUGUCUCCACCCGAGACUCAGUGAAAUUGAACUCGCUGUGAAGAUGCAGUGUACCCGCGGCAAGACGGAAAGACCCCGUGAACCUUUACUAUAGCUUGACACUGAACAUUGAGCCUUGAUGUGUAGGAUAGGUGGGAGGCUUUGAAGUGUGGACGCCAGUCUGCAUGGAGCCGACCUUGAAAUACCACCCUUUAAUGUUUGAUGUUCUAACGUUGACCCGUAAUCCGGGUUGCGGACAGUGUCUGGUGGGUAGUUUGACUGGGGCGGUCUCCUCCUAAAGAGUAACGGAGGAGCACGAAGGUUGGCUAAUCCUGGUCGGACAUCAGGAGGUUAGUGCAAUGGCAUAAGCCAGCUUGACUGCGAGCGUGACGGCGCGAGCAGGUGCGAAAGCAGGUCAUAGUGAUCCGGUGGUUCUGAAUGGAAGGGCCAUCGCUCAACGGAUAAAAGGUACUCCGGGGAUAACAGGCUGAUACCGCCCAAGAGUUCAUAUCGACGGCGGUGUUUGGCACCUCGAUGUCGGCUCAUCACAUCCUGGGGCUGAAGUAGGUCCCAAGGGUAUGGCUGUUCGCCAUUUAAAGUGGUACGCGAGCUGGGUUUAGAACGUCGUGAGACAGUUCGGUCCCUAUCUGCCGUGGGCGCUGGAGAACUGAGGGGGGCUGCUCCUAGUACGAGAGGACCGGAGUGGACGCAUCACUGGUGUUCGGGUUGUCAUGCCAAUGGCACUGCCCGGUAGCUAAAUGCGGAAGAGAUAAGUGCUGAAAGCAUCUAAGCACGAAACUUGCCCCGAGAUGAGUUCUCCCUGACUCCUUGAGAGUCCUGAAGGAACGUUGAAGACGACGACGUUGAUAGGCCGGGUGUGUAAGCGCAGCGAUGCGUUGAGCUAACCGGUACUAAUGAACCGUGAGGCUUAACCUUACAACGCCGAAG
rnacentral:rRNA from 1 species